rnacentral:piRNA from 1 species
UCAUUAUGUAAUGAGAGGAGACACUGAGGU